GAUGAACGCUGGCGGCGUGCCUAAUACAUGCAAGUAGAACGCUGAAGGAGGAGCUUGCUCUUCUGGAUGAGUUGCGAACGGGUGAGUAACGCGUAGGUAACCUGCCUGGUAGCGGGGGAUAACUAUUGGAAACGAUAGCUAAUACCGCAUGACAACAGUUAUUGCAUGAUAACUGUUUAAAAGGGGCAACUGCUCCACUACCAGAUGGACCUGCGUUGUAUUAGCUAGUUGGUGAGGUAACGGCUCACCAAGGCGACGAUACAUAGACGACCUGAGAGGGGGAUCGGCCAAACUGGGACUGAGACACGGCCCAGACUCCUACGGGAGGCAGCAGUAGGGAAUCUUCGGCAAUGGACGGAAGUCUGACCGAGCAACGCCGCGUGAGUGAAGAAGGUUUUCGGAUCGUAAAGCUCUGUUGUAAGAGAAGAACGAGUGUGAGAGUGGAAAGUUCACACUGUGACGGUAUCUUACCAGAAAGGGACGGCUAACUACGUG
rnacentral:rRNA from 1 species